rnacentral:rRNA from 1 species
UGGUGGGGUGACUUGUCUGCCUAAUUGCGAUAACGAACGAGACCUUAACCUGCUAAAUAGCCCGCAUUGCUCCGGCAGUGCGCUGGCUUCUUAGAGGGACUUUCGGCUCAAGCCGAAGGAAGUUUGAGGCAAUAACA